AUAAAUCUGGACCGUCCAUCACGAUGCAAUCUGGGCCAUCUGUGCGUGAUCAAAUCUGAGUCGUCGCACGCGUGAGAUCUGGGCCGUCCAUGCGCGCUUUUGAUCUGGGUCGUCCAUGCACGCGGGAAAAGAUCUGGACCGUCCGAUCGCGCGCAUGCGGAUCGCCCACGAGUCCCCAUCCCACGUGGCUUCUUGCGUCAGCGUCCCUGCCACGCGGCGUGUCCUGGUUGGCCGGGGCUGCUGACGUGGCACUAUUUUUCUAAAUUGCGUUUUGAGCCCCGAUUUUUGAUUUUCUUUUCAAAAACACCCCUAUAAUCUAAAUUUUAAUCCCUUUUUU
rnacentral:lncRNA from 1 species